GCGAAAGACGGGUGAGAAUCCCGUCCACCGAUUGACUAAGGUUUCCAGAGGAAGGCUCGUCCGCUCUGGGUUAGUCGGGUCCUAAGCUGAGGCCGACAGGCGUAGGCGAUGGAUAACAGGUUGAUAUUCCUGUACCACCUAUAAUCGUUUUAAUCGAUGGGGGGACGCAGUAGGAUAGGCGAAGCGUGCGAUUGGAUUGCACGUCUAAGUAGUAAGGCUGAGUAUUAGGCAAAUCCGGUACUCGUUAAGGCUGAGCUGUGAUGGGGAGAAGACAUUGAGUCUUCGAGUCGUUGAUUUCACACUGCCGAGAAAAGCCUCUAGAUAGAAAAUAGGUGCCCGUACCGCAAACCGACACAGGUAGUCAAGAUGAGAAUUCUAAGGUGAGCGAGCGAACUCUCGUUAAGGAACUCGGCAAAAUGACCCCGUAACUUCGGGAGAAGGGGUGCUCUUUAGGGUUAACGCCCAGAAGAGCCGCAGUGAAUAGGCCCAAGCGACUGUUUAUCAAAAACACAGGUCUCUGCUAAACCGUAAGGUGAUGUAUAGGGGCUGACGCCUGCCCGGUGCUGGAAGGUUAAGAGGAGUGGUUAGCUUCUGCGAAGCUACGAAUCGAAGCCCCAGUAAACGGCGGCCGUAACUAUAACGGUCCUAAGGUAGCGAAAUUCCUUGUCGGGUAAGUUCCGACCCGCACGAAAGGCGUAACGAUUUGGGCACUGUCUCAACGAGAGACUCGGUGAAAUCAUAGUACCUGUGAAGAUGCAGGUUACCCGCGACAGGACGGAAAGACCCCGUGGAGCUUUACUGUAGCCUGAUAUUGAAAUUCGGCACAGCUUGUACAGGAUAGGUAGGAGCCUUUGAAACGUGAGCGCUAGCUUACGUGGAGGCGCUGGUGGGAUACUACCCUAGCUGUGUUGGCUUUCUAACCCGCACCACUUAUCGUGGUGGGAGACAGUGUCAGGCGGGCAGUUUGACUGGGGCGGUCGCCUCCUAAAAGGUAACGGAGGCGCUCAAAGGUUCCCUCAGAAUGGUUGGAAAUCAUUCAUAGAGUGUAAAGGCAUAAGGGAGCUUGACUGCGAGACCUACAAGUCGAGCAGGGUCGAAAGACGGACUUAGUGAUCCGGUGGUUCCGCAUGGAAGGGCCAUCGCUCAACGGAUAAAAGCUACCCCGGGGAUAACAGGCUUAUCUCCCCCAAGAGUUCACAUCGACGGGGAGGUUUGGCACCUCGAUGUCGGCUCAUCGCAUCCUGGGGCUGUAGUCGGUCCCAAGGGUUGGGCUGUUCGCCCAUUAAAGCGGUACGCGAGCUGGGUUCAGAACGUCGUGAGACAGUUCGGUCCCUAUCCGUCGUGGGCGUAGGAAAUUUGAGAGGAGCUGUCCUUAGUACGAGAGGACCGGGAUGGACAUACCUCUGGUGUACCAGUUGUCGUGCCAACGGCAUAGCUGGGUAGCUAUGUGUGGACGGGAUAAGUGCUGAAAGCAUCUAAGCAUGAAGCCCCCCUCAAGAUGAGAUUUCCCAACUUCGGUUAUAAGAUCCCUCAAAGAUGAUGAGGUUAAUAGGUUCGAGGUGGAAGCAUGGUGACAUGUGGAGCUGACGAAUACUAAUCGAUCGAAGACUUAAUCAAAA
rnacentral:rRNA from 1 species